AAAAUCACAACUUCAUUGUUUGUAGAGAGAGACGCACAGACACAGAUCCCCAAGCGACAAUGCUAUUUAUAUAUAGUAUUGUUGCUUCAAGUCAAGGCACCAGACGCUUCCAGGACUUGCAGGGCUGCAAGACGCUAAAGCCUGAAUGAACUGAUGGAAAGGCCAAUCUUGUCAGCCUACCAGACGCAAAGCUGACUGAAGACAGAAAACAACAGGGUGGCCAUGACAAGAGUUGUUUCUGAGGUUAUUUGUGUCUUACUCCGUGACCUGAAACAAAAAGAUAAAUCAGCAUUAUUUGUCUAAAUUCAUUACAUUUAGAGAAAAAUUGACUAAAAGUUCAUGAUGACUAAAGAUCAAACUAAACCAAGAAAAAGCUUAGCUAAUCUUAGACUCUGUACCUUAAACCAGUCAUGGAGAUGCAUCUUGUCCAGACUGAGUCUCUUCCGUGGCUUGGGCUGGAGACAAUCACAAAUCAUCUGGCAGCAUUCUGUGCAAAAAGAAGAGAAAGACAUUUGAUCAUACGUUUAUACAUUACACCUGCUCUCUUUGAAGCUAUUGGUCUUUUUUGUAUGAUUUAGAGUUCUUUGUUGUUUGAUGAAGAUCUCACCUUUUGACAAGCCGGGUCUGGUCCAGAGCUUCACAGUGAUCAUGCUUCGGUCGUAGGAUGUAGGAGCUUCUCCACACAGCAUUUCAUACAGAAUGAACCCUAGAGUCCACACUGUCGUCGGUUUUGCGUGGUACCUGCCCUUCAUGUAGAACAUGGGAGGACAGUAAACUCUUGUGCCUGCAGGAAAGAUGCCUUAUCUUAGCAUGUUGAGUAAAUAUAUGUUUCUGUGAGAUAAUUAACAAAGCAGUUCAUAACACAUACCAUGGAAGACUUUGAAGGCAGAUUUCUUCAUGAGCGCACCGCACCCGAAGUCGAUUAAUUUGACUUCCAUGGUGUCCUCAUUCACCAGAAGGUUCUCCAAUUUUAAAUCACGAUGGAAGAUGCCACGCUUACAGCAAGUUUUAGCGGCAUUAGUGACCUGCCGCAUAAUAUUUCGUGCCGUCCCCUCAUCAAGGCUUCCUCCAUGGUUCUCCACAAAACUAAACAAGUCCACGCAAGGAAUGGGGCGCUCCAUGACCAUCACGUAGUGGUCUGCAUCGUCCUCCCAGUCAAGCAGCUGAAUGAUCUGAGGAACGCUGGGGCCCUUAUUGGCCAUGAGCAUCAGGCCAAUCUCCAUGGGAAGGCAUUUGGGAUGACCAGGCUAAAAGGAGGAAGAUACGAUGAUUAGAUGGAGGCCGUUUCAUAAAUAAUAAAAUCAAAACAGGUUGCCUACUGAAAGCUCAUUUGAAGUCUGUGAUGAACAUUAAUAUAAGAUGUGAUGAACUGAAAACAGUGACUAAGAGGCAAUAACAUAGAGAGCGCAGUGUACUCACCACUUUGAUAGAUGGCAUGUUUGGCAUCUUGCUUGAACAUUUCACUGCCACCUAAUCAACAAAACAAAGAUUGAACAAUUAGCAUGUGCAGAUAGUUGAUAUCACUCCAGUCAUCUUUCCCGAACAGAUGUGCAAAGUUUUUAAGUGAAGAAAAUUUAAACCUGAAGUCCAUCCUUGCAGCGAGUCCCUUCAUAAACACUACCACAUCCUCCUUCACCCAACUUGCAGCCGACUGUAUACUUGCAAAAGUGGCCUAAAACAGACAAACAAUUGUGAUUUCUUAUUCGUACCCUUGUCCAGGAUGUCCUGCACAAGCCGUUCCUCAGCAGUGAGGAGGACUUCCUCCGUUCUCUCUCCAUCAAUUUCAGCAGCUCCAGCAGGCUCCUCAUCAGGUGGAUUAGGAUGAUGGCUGUCCGACAUUGAGAGUCAUAUGUUCCAGCUCUGCAGCAAGGAAAGUGAAGAGUGGGCCACUUCCAGAAGCUCUUCUUCUCCGUUCUCUCUCCAUCUGUCUCAGCAGCUCCAGCAGGCGCCUCAUCAGGUGGAUUAUGUUGACGGUUCUCUGACGUGAUUGGGGAAAGUACACAGGGACAUCCUGUUUCUGCUGUUCCUCAGCAGUGGGGAGGACUUCAAGAGCUGGAGCUAUAAUAUGAAUUCAAUAAAAAAUAAUAUAAGUAAAAUAUUAACUGGUACAUAAUGAAAUUCUUGUAGUUCUUCGUUUUGGGGCACUUUUGAAUUGCUAUCCUAAACUUCUCUAAACAAUAUUAACCAAUUUAUUUCCGGUAGUGACAUCUAAUAAAGUUCAGGAGAAAAAUCUUUAA